rnacentral:rRNA from 1 species
UACGGAGGGUGCAAGCGUUAUCCGGAUUCACUGGGUUUAAAGGGUGCGUAGGCGGAUAUGUAAGUCCGUGGUGAAAUCUCUGGGCUUAACCCGGAAACUGCCAUGGAUACUAUUUGUCUUGAAUACUGUGGAGGUCAGCGGAAUAUGUCAUGUAGCGGUGAAAUGCUUAGAUAUGACAUAGAACACCAAUUGCGAAGGCAGCUGGCUACACAAAUAUUGACACUGAGGCACGAAAGCGUGGGGAUCAAACAGG